GUCGGCCGGAUCGUCGGGCGAGGUGGCGGCUUUUGAGCGAAAGUGGACCGGCCGAUCGAGGGUCGCGCGAUCGGCGGCGCGGCGAUUCGCUUUCGCAAGGAGUGGUUUCGUGGGUAUGUGAAUUUUGGAGCCUAGUCUCUAGAAGCGUCUCAAUCCUCAUAAAAACUAGUUAUUUGCAAAACAAUAGAGCUUCGGAGCCCGAAAACAAAAGGGUAUGACGUCAGUUUGGGUGCUCCUUGUUACGACACGAACGCAACUUUUGACGGACAAUACUUCGCAACCUAACGGGAAAAGGAUUGUACCGCGAGCGAAGCGAGCCGUCAAGUGCGCCACGCACGUCUCGGUAGCGCCGAGAUCUUUGAUCCAUCGCGAAGACGACUAAUGAGCGCAGUGUAAUCACGGAGGGAAGUGAAACGAGGCUGAUAAGUGUAACCCGUUACAGCCGGUUUCACGAUAAUAUUACAUAGCUGCGAGGAACGCGUGGUCGAUAAACAAUGCGCGAACCGGCGCGCGAGUUGCGCGCGAUAACGCGGCUACUGAAACAGCGUGAGAGACGAAUGGCGGGAUGCGCGCGCUCGAGGGCGCUUUUAUACGCGAUUCUAUGCAUAAACCGAUCUCGUCGCGGAUGGACGGAUGGACGCGGGCAAGCGGCCGAAGACGAGGCGAUAAACCGGACGUAUCCGGCUGCAGUUUUCGAGCUAGAUAGAUAACACAACUCGCCGGCUUGUAUAUAAAUAACGUAACCGUCACGAAAGGGGUUUGCGGAUGCGCGCACGCAGUGCCAGCGGCUAGAAUUCUUUCGCCCCGUUCCGAUGCCUCGCCAGCUUCCGACUCACGUUUUAAUCUCGAGAUACCGCGGCUGGGCGCAUCGUACGACCCGCCGUAACUCGCCCCUCACGUGGUGCCCGUGUCGUUCGAGUAAAGUGAGUUUUCCUGGAGCGCGCGUCGUCGGAGACGCGAGAAAUUCUUCGGGCGAAGUGCGCGUGAAACUUCCUGCUUUACACGAUAAGAACUUCCAGUGCUCUUUACUUUCAUGUCUAGAUAUGUACAUGUGUAUAUAUAUAUAUAUAUAUAUAUAUACAGGGUGUAACUAAAACAAACUUCGGAGACGAGCUCCCUACAUCAAACAUGAGAAAAAAUUCAGAUCAACACAUAUCCGUAAACUCACUAUUUUUGAAAUAUAGCUCAAACAAAUAUUUAUUAAUGUAUAAUGAAAAAAUUGUAUUUAUUAUUAUUUAUUAUUAUUUUCGGUUUUCAAUUGCAGCAAAUACUCAGUGUCCUCCAUUUGACUCGAUAACACGUACGGGCAACGUUGUGUCGUGGACAAUGUCGCAUCCUUUCAAAGAUCUCGGGGUGGCUUUGAAUGGUUUCACAAGCGGCAAAGAUGCGUUAGCCUAGCAUAUCUUCGUUGUCAAUUUGAAUAAUGAGAUGAUAAAGAAAUGAGUCAGACAAGGACCGACAAACAAUUGCUCUGACUAUAAAUAGUGAAUUGCAUUAAUAAACAUUUGUUGGAGCUGUCUCAAUAUCCGUAUCUCAGUAAGAGUGAGUUUGCAGAUAUAUGUUGAUGUGAAUUUUUCCUCAUGUUUUGGCGCGGAGAGCUCGCUCCCGAAGUUUCUCCCCCUAUUUUAGUUAUGUCCUGUAUACACAUAUUCCGACAUCCUGCGCAACGAUCAUCGUAUAUGCUGUCUGUCGUAAUCGUACACGUGAACAGACGUCAUGACGAGGGCGCACACGGCCAAUGUAAACAUGCGCUGCGCGAAAUAACGAGAAGAUUGGCGUUCGUUUCACAUUCUUACGUCUAUUUUUCACCGAGAUACGAAUGUUCGAAGUGUCCGAAGUUUUCAAAGACGCGGUCCUUCGACGCCUAACAC